rnacentral:snRNA from 1 species
UUAUAAAUAUAAAAGAAGAACCAUACGGAGAAGAUCAGCGUGGUCCCUGAGCAAGGAUGACACAUGAAUUCAUGAAGCAUUCCAUAUUUUU